rnacentral:lncRNA from 1 species
GUAAGUAAACAGACUUUAUGAGUAAGCAGAAACUGAAAUAGAGAUGGCACGGCAGCAAGAAGAGGGUAAGGUGGCUCCUGGAACUAGUGGGAGGAAUAGAUGCAAUCAGAGAGGAGCUCACUCACCAUAAAGGUGCUCUACGUGUAUGAAGUUAUUUAAUACUUAUAACAACUUUAUGAGAUGGAAUGAUCCAUUUUACCUGCAGAGAGUGCAAGGAUCAAGGAAAGGUUUGCGGCACUCUUGAAUUGAGCAAGAUCAUCAACACCAUUUUACUAACAGCAUGUGCUUACUUGGUGUCUCUGUGUCAUAUUUUAGUAAUUCUUGCAAUAUUUCAAACUUUUUCUAUAUUAUUGUAUCUGCUAUAGUUAUUUGUGAUAAGUGGCCUUCGAUGUUACUAUUGUAAUUGUUUUGUGGCAUCUCAAACUGUAUCCCUAAAAGAUGGCAAAUUUAAUCAAUAAAUGUGUGUCUUCUGACUGCUCUACCAACCAGCCAUUAUUCAAUCUCUUUCCCUGCCUUCAGGCCUCCCUAUUCUCUGUAUUGAAAUUAGGCCUCUAAGUGUUCAAGUGCAAGGAAGAGUCACACAGCUCUCACUUUAAAUCAACCUUGUCCAACCCACAGCCUGUGGGCUGCAUGCAGCCC